rnacentral:rRNA from 1 species
GACAGAGGGUGCAAACGUUGCUCGGAAUCACUGGGCGUAAAGGGCGCGUAGGCGGGAAUGUAAGUCGGGCGUGAAAUCCCUAGGCUCAACCUAGGAACUGCACUCGAAACUGCGUUUCUUGAGUAUCGGAGAGGAAAGCGGAAUUCCUGGUGUAGAGGUGAAAUUCGUAGAUAUCAGGAGGAACACCAGUGGCGAAGGCGGCUUUCUGGACGGUAACUGACGCUGAGG